UGGCUGGGCAGUAAAAAAGUUCUCAUCGGUGCGCCACCUUUUCAGGCGGCGAUCAGGGAGUGCGGGAAAAGGGUUAUCCAUAUGAGAAAUUUGAAGUUCGGCGGCGAUGGUGACCACCCACCACCGAGCCCAACGAGGGGACGCUUCAAGGUAGAACACUUGAAGGCGCCAGCCAUACAUCGCCGCUAUAACCAAAUAUAACUACCCAAG
rnacentral:lncRNA from 1 species